GAUGAACGCUGGCGGCGUGCCUAACACAUGCAAGUCGAACGAAGCUUGACGAAUGAUUUUUUCGGAAUGAAUUCUGAUAUGACUUAGUGGCGGACGGGUGAGUAACACGUGAGCAACCUGCCUUUCAGAGGGGGAUAACGGCUGGAAACGGUGAUUAAUACCAUAUGAUACAAUAACAAGGCAUCUUGAGAUUGUUAAAGCUCCGGCGGUAAGAGGUGGGCUCGCGUCCCAUUAGCUAGUUGGUGAGGUAACGGCCCACCAAGGCGACGAUCAGUAGCCGGCUUGAGAGAGUGAACGGCCACACUGGAACUGAGACACGGUCCAG
rnacentral:rRNA from 1 species